GAAGUUCUCCAUUUAGAGAUUCUGCUUCUUGGUUAUUAUAUCGAGUGUGCAGUAUUGCGUCAUUGAGCGAAUCAAGAAUUUGAGGCACAGGGAGUUGAUAGUGAUGGAUGAAAGAUCUGAAGCCUGUGUGUGCAAGAGAUAACCAUAAUAAUGGACAGAGGAGAUACUGGAGUGGAAAGGAAACUAAGAGAUGUUCUUCUCAAACCUCUCACCCAAUGCAGAAGUCACCUUGACAGAUCCAUCAUAUAAUCAAGCAAAGGCUUUACUGCC